rnacentral:rRNA from 2 species
UACGUAGGUGGCGAGCGUUGUCCGGAAUUACUGGGUGUAAAGGGCGUGUAGGCGGGUUGUCAAGUCAGAUGUGAAAUUCCAGGGCUCAACUCUGGAGCUGCAUCUGAAACUGAUGAUCUUGAGUACUGGAGAGGGAAGCGGAAUUCCUAGUGUAGCGGUGAAAUGCGUAGAUAUUAGGAGGAACACCAGUGGCGAAGGCGGCUUUCUGGACAGUAACUGACGCUGAGGCGCGAAAGCGUGGGGAGCGAACAGG